CUCCCGCACCGCCAUGAGUCCGGGGCCGGCGGCUCCUCUUCGCCCCGCGUCCGCAGGCAUCUGAUGCCAGCUCUGAAAAACUGUUCAACGCUGUUACAAAUAAAGAUAAAGAGUUAGGAGUCAGUACGCUCGCUGAAAAUGCCGACCCUGGUGCUAGGGGGCCAGCUGUCCCGAAGAUAUCAGGACUAGAGAGGAGCCAAGAGAAGAGCCAGGACAGCAGCAAAGACCCAAUACUUGAGCCCGUGGUGCCUAAAGACCCCUGCCCUCAGGUGGCCCAGCCUCUGGCCCAGCCCCAGCUGGAACCUCAGCCGGAGGUACCUUG